CGUUUCCAUAAUAUCUUUAAUACUUUUCCUCCACUUAACAAACAUGGCUACAGCUUGCCAAGUUGCAACCUUCACCUCCUGGAUUCAAGAGAGUCUCCCACCUCAGCCUCCUGAGUAGCUGGGAUUACAGGCACCUGCCACCACGCCCAGCUAAUUUUUGUAUUUUUAGGAGAGAAAGGGUUUCUCCAUGUUGGCCAGGCUGGUCUCGAACUCCUGACCUCAGGCGAUCCACCCGCCUUGGCUUCCCAAAGUGCUGGGAUUAUAGGAUUAUAGGCUCGAGCCCUGCCCAGAUCAACCUUUUAAGUGUUCCUUGCUUUUUCUUUUCUUUUCUUUUUUUUUUUUUUUUUUUUUUUUUGAGACGGAGUUUCGCUCUUGUUACCCAGACUGGAGUGCAAUGGCGUAAUCUCGGCUCACCGCAACCUCCACCUUCUGGGUUCAAGCAACUCUCCUGCCUCAGCCUCCCGAGUAGCUGGGACUACAGGCAUGCACCACCAUGCCCAGCUAAUUUUUGUAUUUUUAGUAGAGAAGGGGUUUCACCAUGUUGACCAGGAUGGUCUCGAUCUCUUGACCUCGUGAUCCACCCGCCUCGGGCUCCCAAAGUGCUGGGAUUAUAGGCGUGAGCCACCGCGCCCGGCCCCUUGCUUUUUCAUGUAUAGAUUUGACAUUAUCGGCUUUGGGGUAAGGAAGAAACCACCACGACUCUGAGGGUCGGAGACUCGCCCAGUCAUAAGCUCAACAAGAGAAUGGGUCUGUCUGGGCUAGCCUUGGGCUGUUGGAUGAGUAGGGUUGGCCUUUUCAUUUCUCUGGAGGGAUUUUUCAUUUUCUCUGGAAACCAACUCCAAAUUCCUUCUUCCGGAAGGCGUUUUGGAACGCUUGACUGCCUGCAUGCGACCUCGGGUUGCCUCCCUGGUUUCCUCGCCGCUUCCUGCUCAGCUACCAGUUUCUGUUCUCAAAGGACCCUCUCAUACAGCAUGUGCAGAAAGGAGAACUACUAUAUUUCUGUUCUCCCUUAUGCAACAUUGUCCCGUCUGCCAGCAUGGUUGAGCAGCAGCUGUUGUCAAACUGCAGAGUACAAAGUGCACCGUAAAAGACAGAUGGCAGAUCCGCCUUCCUUGCUGGUGAAAUGUUCACUGACCAGGGAGAAACAACCACGUGGAAAAUUAAAUAAACCCAUGACAUUCAUAUCUAGCAGCUCUGGUUUUGUAGGGUUUCCCCUGAGAAGUGGGACUAUUUGCAUGAGUCACUCUUUUUUCUUUUUAGAGUCUUCUCUAUUUGUGAAUAAAUGUUUCCAAUUAAAACAUUGCUACUAA
rnacentral:lncRNA from 1 species